rnacentral:rRNA from 1 species
AGUGAACGCUGGCGGUAGGCCUAACACAUGCAAGUCGAACGGCAGCACAGUAAGAGCUUGCUCUUACGGGUAGCGAGUGGCGGACGGGUGAGGAAUACAUCGGAAUCUACUUUUUCGUGGGGGAUAACGUAGGGAAACUUACGCUAAUACCGCAUACGACCUACGGGUGAAAGCAGGGGAUCUUCGGACCUUGCGCGAUUGAAUGAGCCGAUGUCGGAUUAGCUAGUUGGCGGGGUAAAGGCCCACCAAGGCGACGAUCCGUAGCUGGUCUGAGAGGAUGAUCAGCCACACUGGAGCUGAGACACGGUCCAGGGACCUACGGGAGGCAGCAGUGGGGAAUAUUGGACAAUGGGCGCAAGCCUGAUCCAGCCAUGCCGCGUGGGUGAAGAAGGCCUGCGGGUGGUAAAGCCCUUUUGUUGGGAAAGAAAAGCAGCAGGUUAAUACCCCGCUGUUCUGACGGUACCCAAAGAAUAAGCACCGGCUAACUUCGU